AUGUUAGAGAACUACAGAAACCUGGUCUUCCUGGGUAUUGUUGUCUGUAAGCCAGACCUGAUCACCUACCUUUGGCCAGAGCAGAGCAUAAAAGAUACUUUCCAAAAAGUGAUACUGAGAAGGUAUGAAAAAUGUGGACAUGGCGAUUUACAGUUAAAAAAAGGACCUGAAAGUGUGGAUGAGUGCAGGGUGCACAAAGAAGGUUAUAAUGAACUUAACCAGUGUUUGACAACUACCCCGAGAAAAAUAUUUCAAUGUGAUAAAUAUGUGAAAGUGUUUCAUCAAUUUUCAAAUUCAAACAGACAAAAGAGAGGACAUACUGGGAAAAAACCUUUCAAAUAUAUAGAAUGUGGCAAAGCUUAUAAGCAGUUAUCAACUCUUACUACACAUAAGAAAAUUCAUACUGGAGGGAAACCCUACAAAUGUGAAGAAUGUGGCAAAGCCUUUAACUACUUUUGCAGCCUUACUAGACAUAAGAAAAUUCACACUGGAGAGAAACCCUACAAAUGUGAAGAAUGUGGCAAAGCCUUUAAGCACUCCUCCACUCUUACUACCCAUAAGAGAAAUCAUACUGGAGAGAAACCGUACAAGUGUGAUAAAUGUGGCAAAGCCUUUAUGUCAUCCUCAGCCCUUAGUAAACAUGAGAUAAUUCAUACGGAAAAGAAACCCUAUAAAUGUGAAGAAUGUGGCAAAGCCUUCAACCGGUCCUCAACCCUUACGACACAUAAGAUAAUUCAUACUGGAGAGAAACCCUACAAAUGUGAAGAAUGUGGCAAAGCCUUCAACCAGUCUUCAAACCUUACUGUGCAUAAGAUAAUUCAUACUGGAGAGAAACCCUACAAAUGUGAAGAAUGUGGCAAAGCCUUUAAGUACUCCUAUAACCUUACUACACAUAAGAGAAUUCAUACUGGAGAGAAACCCUACAAAUGUGAAGAAUGUGGCAAAGCCUUCAAGCGGUCCUCAGACCCUGUCUCUUAUACACAUCUAGAUGUUCACCCUGGCCAAAAAAUAUUUCAAUGUGAUAAAUAUGUGAAAGUGUUUCAUCAAUUUUCAAAUUCAAACAGACAAAAGAGAGGACAUACUGGGAAAAAACCUUUCAAAUAUAUAGAAUGUGGCAAAGCUUAUAAGCAGUUAUCAACUCUUACUACACAUAAGAAAAUUCAUACUGGAGGGAAACCCUACAAAGCCUUUAACUACUUUUGCAGCCUUACUAGACAUAAGAAAAUUCACACUGGAGAGAAACCCUACAAAUGUGAAGAAUGUGGCAAAGCCUUUAAGCACUCCUCCACUCUUACUACCCAUAAGAGAAAUCAUACUGGAGAGAAACCGUACAAGUGUGAUAAAUGUGGCAAAGCCUUUAUGUCAUCCUCAGCCCUUAGUAAACAUGAGAUCAUUCAUACGGAAAAGAAACCCUAUAAAUGUGAAGAAUGUGGCAAAGCCUUCAACCGGUCCUCAACCCUUACGACACAUAAGAUAAUUCAUACUGGAGAGAAACCCUACAAAUGUGAAGAAUGUGGCAAAGCCUUUAAGUACUCCUAUAACCUUACUACACAUAAGAAAAUUCAUACUGGAGAGAAACCCUACAAAUGUGAAGAAUGUGGCAAAGCCUUCAAGCGGUCCUCAGACCUUACUACACAUAAGACAAUUCAUACUGGAGAGAAACCCUACAACUGUGAAGCAUGUGGCAAAGCUUUUAAGUACUCCUCUAACCUUACUACACAUAAGAAAAUUCAUACUGGAGAGAGACCCUACAAAUGUGAAGAAUGUGGCAAAGCAUUCAGGCGGUCCUCAGACCUUACUACACAUAAGAUAAUUCAUACUGGAGAGAAACCCUACAACUGUGAAGCAUGUGGCAAAGCUUUUAAUUACUCCUCUAACCUUACUACACAUAAGAAAAUUCAUACUGGAGAGAAACCCUACAAAUGUGAAGAAUGCAGCAAAGCCUUUCACCAGUCCUCACACCUUACUGCACAUAAGAGAAUUCAUACCGGAGAGAAAUUCUACAAAUGUGAAGAAUGUGGUAAAACCUUCAAGCAGUCCUCACGCCUUACUACACGUAAGAUAAUUCAUACGCGAGAGAAAUUCUACAAAUGUGAAGAAUGCAGCAAAGCUUUUAAGCAGUUCUCUAACCUUACUACACAUAAGAAAAUUCAUACUGGAAAACCCUACAGAUGUGAAGAAUGUGGCAAAGCCUUUGAGCGCUCCUCUAAACUUACUACACAUAAGAGAUUUCAUACUGGAGAGAAACCCUACAGAUGUGAGUAAUGUGGCAGAGCUUUUCACCUAUCCUCACACCUUACUACACAUAAGAUAAUUCAUACUGGAGAGAAACCAUAUGAAUGUGAUGAAUGUGGAAAAGCUUUUAACCAGCCCUCAAUUCUAACUAUGAGAAUUGAAAUUCAUGCUGAAGAGGAACUCUACAAACGUGAAAGGUGUGACAGUGCUUUUAUCAACACCUCCAUCCUUUCUAGACAUAAAAAAUUUAUAUUAGUGUGAAACCCUAGAAAUAUAUAAAAUGUGAAACAACCUUUAUAUGGUUGCCAUUUUUGAUAGUAAGAUAAUUCAUACUGGCAAAAUUCCUACAAGCAUGAAGAAUGUGGCAAAACUUUUAGUCAGUGUAUACACCUUAUUUCGCAGGAAAGCUAGUAUCCUUGAGAAAAAUUGUACAAAUAUAAAGAAUAUGGAAAACCCAUGAAUGCCUACUCACAUCUUACUCAACAUAAGAAGGUUCAUAGUUAAUAAAAGCAUUAAAAGUGCAAUUACUGUCAAAAAGUCUUUCAGAAAAUAUAAGCCUUUAAAGUGAAGAAGAGUGUUUAUUCUGAAGACAACCAUUACAAAUUUAGAGGGGGUUUAUUGCACACAUUUUGUACUAGAGGAAAACCCUGAAGCAGUUGCUGCAGCUUUGCUCAAAUCAGGGAACUUAUAUUGGAGAAGAGUCUUGCAAAUGUAAUGAAUUUGGAA